ensembl:snRNA LOC120098014 U2 spliceosomal RNA
ACUGCUUCUUGGCCUUGUAGCUAAAAUCAAAUGUGGUAUCUGUUUUUAUCAGUUUAAUCUUUGAUACACCUAUAUACAUAUAUCUUAAUUCAUAAAUAUCAACCAUA